CGGCGUGGAUUAGGCAUGCAAGUCGAGCGUGAUCUUUCAAGCUUGCUUGGAAGUGAAAGCGGCGAACGGGUGAGGAAUACUUGGGUAACCUGCCUAGAAGUUCGGAAUAGCCCCGGGAAACUGGGGGUAAUGCCGAAUGUGAUCGUCCCGCAUCUGCGGGAUUGUUUAAAGAGGGGGAUCUUCGGACCUCUCGCUUCUUGAUGGGCCCAAGUCCUAUCAGCUUGUUGGUGAGGUAAUGGCUCACCAAGGCUAAGACGGGUAGCUGGUCUGAGAGGAUGGUCAGCCACACUGGGACUGAGACACUGCCCAGACUCCUACGGGAGGCUGCAGUCGAGAAUCUUUCGCAAUGCACGAAAGUGUGACGAAGCGACGCCGCGUGGAGGAUGAAGGUCUUCGGAUUGUAAACUCCUGUCGGAAGGAAAGAACAGCUCUCGGACAAAUACUCCGGGAGUUUGACGGUACCUUCAAAGGAAGCCACGGUUAACUCUGUGCCAGCAGCCGCGGUAAUACAGAGGUGGCGAGCGUUGUUCGGAUUUACUGGGCGUAAAGGGUGCGUAGGCGGUUGUGUAUGUCAGAUGUGAAAGCCCAUGGCUCAACCAUGGAACUGCAUUUGAAACUGCACGACUAGAGUAUCGGAGAGGUGAGUGGAAUUCUUGGUGUAGCGGUGAAAUGCGUAGAUAUCAAGAAGAACACCAGCGGCGAAAGCGACUCACUGGACGAAUACUGACGCUGAGGCACGAAAGCCAGGGGAGCAAAGAGGAUUAGAUACCCUCGUAGUCCUGGCCAUAAACGGUGUACACUUGGUGUGGGCGGCUUUAACCCCGUCCGUGCCGUAGCAAACGUGAUA
rnacentral:rRNA from 1 species